rnacentral:rRNA from 1 species
UACAGAGGGUGCGAGCGUUAAUCGGAAUUACUGGGCAUAAAGCGUGCGUAGACGGUUAUCUAAGUCGAAUGUGAAAGCCCCGGGCUCAACCUGGGAAUUGCAUUCGAGACUGAAUAGCUAGGGUACGGUAGAGGGAAGUGGAAUUUCCGGUGUAGCGGUGAAAUGCGUAGAUAUCGGAAGGAACAUCAGUGGCGAAAGCGACUUCCUGGACCAGUACCGACGUUCAGGCACGAAAGCGUGGGGAGCAAACAGG